UAACACAUAAACAAAUAAAAUAUUAAAUGAAUAGGCAAUUUAUCCCAAAGUAGUAUAGGUUUUUCCUCCCAAAUAAAUUGAGUCUUUGUCACAGGCAUUUAAAAGAGAGAAGAAUAAUUUCUAUCUCGGCUGCUGUAGGGAAACUACCACUUCCCUGUAAAGAAUUAGACCCAUACUUACCCAUGUUGGCAAUGGAGGAGGAACACCAAAUGGGGGAGGAUGGCGAAACCUGGCCCACCAUGAGUCCCUGUCUCCUGGACAUCCUCACGCGUAACCAGUGGGUGACCACUGUGCAGACAGACGGAGGUGUUAGUGUGUGUGUGUGAAUGAGUGCCUGUGCGGACAGAGGUGGGCACUGUGUGUGUGUGAAUGAGUGUGUGGACAGAGGCAGGCAUUGUGUGUGUGUGUGUGAAUGAAUGGACAGAGGGAGGCGUUGGUGUGUGUGUGUGAAUCUGUGUGCGGACAGAGGGAGGCAUUGGUGUGUGUGUGAAUGAGUGUGUGUGUGGACACAGGGAGGCAUUGGUUGUGUGUGUGGAUGAGUGUGUGUGGACAGAGGGGGGCGUUGGUGUGUGUGUGAAUGAGUGUGCGGACAGGCAGGCAUUGUGUGUGUGUGUGAAUGAGUGUGUGGACAGAGGUGGGCAUUGUGUGUGUGCGUGAAUGUGUGGACAGUGGGAGGUGGUGUGUGUGUGUGAACUAGUGUGCAGAGGGAGGCACUGGUGUGUGUUUGAAUGAGUGUGUGUGCAGACACAGGAGGGUGUUGGUGUGUGUGUUUGAAUGAGUGUGUGUGGACAGAGGCGGGCAUUGUGUGUGUGUGUGUAAAUGAGUGUGUGGACAGAGGGAGGCAUUGGUGUGUGUGUGAAUGAGUGUGUGUGUGGACAGAGGUGGGCGUUGGUGUGUGUGAAUGAGUGUGUGCGCGGACAGAGGGACCAUUGGUGUGUGUGUGUGAAUGAGUGUGUGUGUGGACAGAGGGGGCCGUUGGUGUGUGUGUGAAUGAGUAUCUGUGUGGACAGAGGUGGGCAUUGGUGUGUGUGUGUGUGAAUGAGUGUGUGUGGACAGAGGGAGCAUUGGUGUGUGUGUGUGAAUGAGUGUGUGUGGACAGAGGGGGCCGUUGGCGUGUGUGUGUGAAUGAGUGUGUGUGUGGACAGAGGGGGCCGUUGGUGUGUGUGUGUGUGUGUGAAUGAGUGUGUGGACAGAGGUGGGCAUUGGUGUGUGUGUGUGUGUGUGAAUGAGUGUGUGUGUGGACAGGGGGCCGUUGGUGUGUGUGUGUGUGAAUGAGUAUCUGUGUGGACAGAGGUGGGCAUUGGUGUGUGUGUGUGAGAAUGAGUGUGUGUGGACAGAGGGAGCAUUGGUGUGUGUGUGAAUGAGUGUGUGUGUGGACAGAGGGGGCCGUUGGCGUGUGUAUGUGUGAAUGAUUGCGUGUGUGGACAGAGGGGGCCGUUGGUGUGUGUGUGUGUGUGAAUGAGUAUCUGUGUGGACAGAGGGAGCAUUGGUGUGUGUGUGUGAAUGAGUGUCUUGUGGACAGAGGUGGGCAUUGUGUGUGUGUAAAUAAGUGUGGACAGAGGCAGGCAGUGGUGUGUGUGUGAGAGUGAGUGUGCGGGUGAACAGAGGCAGGCAUUGGUGUGUGUGUGUGAAUGAGUAUCUGUGUGGACAGAGGUGGGCGUUGGUGUGUGUGUGUGAAUGAGUGUGUGUGCGGACAGAGGGGGCGUUGUGUGUGUGUGUGAAUGAGUGUGUGUGCGGACAGAGGGGGCGUUGUGUGUGUGUGAAUGAGUAUCUGUGUGGACAGAGGUGGGCGUUGUGUGUAUGUGAAUGAGUGUGUGUGUGGACAGAGGGAGCAUUGUGUGCGUGUGAAUGAGUGUGUGUGCGGACAGAGGGAGCGUUGGUGUGUGUGACUGAGUGUGUGUGUGGACAGAGGGGGCCGUUGGCGUGUGUGUGUGAAUGAGUAUCUGUGUGGACAGAGGUGGGCAUUGGGGGGUGUGUGUGUGAAUGAGUGUGUGUGCAGACAGAGGGAGCGUUGGUGUGUGUGCGAAUGAGUGUGUGCGGACAGAGGGAGCGUUGGUGUGUGGGAGAGAAUGAGUGUGUGUCGUGUAAGUGUAUUUGCGCAGAUGUGUGAGUGUAUGUGAGUGCCCCAAGCGUCGUAACAGAACCUUCCAUCCCUUCCAUUCAAACUCAGCGGUACAGUAGAACCACAGGCUGGUGAUUUGAAUACAGUUUCGGGAAAGGCCAAUGAGUAGCAGAGGACAAUGCCCUCGGCAUGGUGCGCGGAGGUGGCAACCUGACCUGCUGCCCUGUAACUUUAGAAUCCCAGAAGGAACCAGCCCCGCAAAGGCUCUAAAGAAAUAAAGCCUGGGGACUUGGGAUCCCUGGGAGCCCAGAUGGAAGGGGACAAGGUCCCGAGAUACUGUCGUCAGGCAGUCCCUGUCCUGACCUCGCAGGAUGGACACAGGCUGAGUGGCCACCUAGGCCCAGAAACAGAGCUGGCACAGAGUCCUGGAAAGAGCAGGCAUUGGGUGGGGUGUCAAGGGGGCAUUCAAAAAAUUAAUUUUAUGAACCAAAUUCCUUAAAUUGAGCCUCAUGUUGGAAAGCACAUCCCCCCGCACAAAGGUUCAGAGUGUGGGCUUGGGAGAGGGUCAGACAUAGAUUCCAUUCUGUGCCCCAGCAAAUUACAGCCCUCGAAACUUCAGUUUUUUGGUUCAUGCCACAUCCUUACAGGACCAUUUAGAGCCAUGCUGCCAAUGGGAAUAUAAUGUGAACCACACAGGCUCAUCGAUGUUUUCUAGUAGCCACACUAAAGAUAGCAAAAAGACACGGGGAUGUUAAUUUAAUAAUGUGUAUCAUUUACUAGAAGAGACCCAAAGUUUAUCACACCACGUGUAAUGGACGUGAAGAUUAUCCCGUAUGUCUUCUCUUGUUCCCAGUCUUUGAAACCUCAUGUGCAUUUCACACUUAAUGCACGUUGCCAGGGUUUUCAAGAGCUUGGUGACCUCAUGUGGCUGGUGGGAUCAUCGCUGGAAGGAAGAGCUGCCGGGGUUAAAUGAGGUAAUCACUGCAAGCGCCGUGCCUCAGGUUUGGUAAACGUCUAAUACACGCAAGAUU
rnacentral:lncRNA from 10 species